GCCUAAAAUCAAGCCUUUAACUCUUAUUAUUCAACCCCAUUUCUAUUCCUUCCCCUAAAUAAAACAUUUUAUUACUUUAGUAGAGGUGAUCGAAAAAUUAAUUAGCGCUUCACACACAGUACCGCAAGGGAACGAUGAAAUAGCUUUGAAAUAGACUAAAAGCCAAAAACAGCAGAGAUUACCCCUCGUACCUUUUGCAUCAUGGUUUAGCCAGUCCUAACCAAGCAAGGCGAACCCAAGUUUGGUCCCCCGAAACUAGGCGAGCUACUUCGAAACAGCUUUUAGAGCCAACCCAUCUCUGUUGCAAAAGAGUGGGAUGAUUUCCAAGUAGAGGUGAAAAGCCUAUCGAGCCUAGAGAUAGCUGGUUAUUCAAGAAAUGAAUUUUAGUUCACCCUUAAGCCCCCCCCCGGUAACCUAAACACGACUCCCCCGCUUAAGAGCUAUUCAAUUAAGGCACAGCUUAUUUGAAAAAGAAUCCAAUCUAUAAUUCAGGGUAAGCCACGACUGCCUUGUUAAGUGGGCUUGAAAGCAGCCACCUUUCAAAAAGCGUUUAAGCUUAGCAUAUUCUAUUAAUAAAAUUCCACAACACCCCACGAACCCGACACCACAAUUGAAUAACUCUAUAGAUUAUAGAAGAUAUGAUGCUAAAACUAGUAACAAGAAAAAGACCUUUCUCCAAAAUAUAAGUGUAUGUCAAAACGAACUCAUCAUUGACACCUAACGCCCUUGAGCCCAAGAUAAUAACCCACCAGGAAAACCUUAUUACACAAUGACGUUAACCUAACACAAGAAUAUUUCUGGAAAGAUUAAAAGAGGGAGAAGGAACUCGGCAAAUCUAAGCCCCGCCUGUUUACCAAAAACAUCGCCUCUUGAAUAGAUAUAAGAGGUCCAGCCUGCCCAGUGAUACAAUUUAACGGCCGCGGUAUACUGACCGUGCGAAGGUAGCAUAAUCACUUGUUCUUUAAAUGGGGAAUAGUAUGAACGGCACCACGAGGGCUUUACUGUCUCCUCCCUUCAAUCAGUGAAAAUGACCUCCCUGUGAAGAGGCAGGGAUACCACUAUAAGACGAGAAGACCCCAUGGAGCUUUAAACCCAACAACAGCCCAAACACCACCACCCCAAAAAGUUUUAAGGGUAUUGCUAGUUGGUUUUAGGUUGGGGUGACCGCGGAGUAUAAACUAUCCUCCACGACGAACGGGCCUACCCCCUUACCCAAGAGCUACGCCUCUAAGGAUUAACACAUUAACGUAAAAUGAUCCAAAUAUUUGAUCAACGAACCAAGUUACCCUGGGGAUAACAGCGCAAUCCAUUUUUAGAGCCCCUAUCGACAAAUGGGUUUACGACCUCGAUGUUGGAUCAGGGUAUCCAGGAGGUGCAGCCGCUUCCAAUGGUUUGUU
rnacentral:rRNA from 1 species